UCAGUUAUCGUUUAUUUGAUAGUACCUUACUACUUGGAUAACCGUGGUAAUUCUAGAGCUAAUACAUGCUAAAAACCCCAACUUCGGGAGGGGUGUAUUUAUUAGAUAAAAAACCAAUGCCCUUCGGGGCUCCUUGGUGAAUCAUAAUAACUUAACGGAUCGCAUGGCCUUGCGCCGGCGACGGUUCAUUCAAAUUUCUGCCCUAUCAACUUUCGAUUGUAGGGUAUUGGCCUACAAUGGUAUCAACGGGUAACGGGGAAUUAGGGUUCGAUUCCGGAGAGGGAGCCUGAGAAACGGCUACCACAUCCAAGGAAGGCAGCAGGCGCGCAAAUUACCCAAUCCCGACGCGGGGAGGUAGUGACAAUAAAUACUGAUACAGGGCUCUUUUGGGUCUUGUAAUUGGAAUGAGUACAAUUUAAAUCCCUUAACGAGGAACAAUUGGAGGGCAAGUCUGGUGCCAGCAGCCGCGGUAAUUCCAGCUCCAAUAGCGUAUAUUAAAGUUGUUGCAGUUAAAAAGCUCGUAGUUGAACCUUGGGCCUGGCUGGCCGGUCCGCCUCACCGCGUGCACUGGUCCGGCCGGGCCUUUCCUUCUGGAGAGCCGCAUGCCCUUCACUGGGUGUGUCGGGGAACCAGGACUUUUACUUUGAAAAAAUUAGAGUGUUCAAAGCAGGCCUUUGCUCGAAUACAUUAGCAUGGAAUAAUAGAAUAGGACGUGCGGUCCUAUUUUGUUGGUUUCUAGGACCGCCGUAAUGAUUAAUAGGGAUAGUCGGGGGCAUCAGUAUUCAAUUGUCAGAGGUGAAAUUCUUGGAUUUAUUGAAGACUAACUACUGCGAAAGCAUUUGCCAAGGAUGUUUUCAUUAAUCAGUGAACGAAAGUUAGGGGAUCGAAGACGAUCAGAUACCGUCGUAGUCUUAACCGUAAACUAUGCCGACUAGGGAUCGGGCGAUGUUAUU
rnacentral:rRNA from 1 species